UGGGGAAUCUUGGACAAUGGGGGCAACCCUGAUCCAGCCAUGCCGCGUGAGUGAUGAAGGCCUUAGGGUCGUAAAGCUCUUUCGCCUGUGAAGAUAAUGACGGUAGCAGGUAAAGAAACCCCGGCUAACUCCGUGCCAGCAGCCGCGGUAAUACGGAGGGGGUUAGCGUUGUUCGGAAUUACUGGGCGUAAAGCGCACGUAGGCGGACCAGAAAGUUGGGGGGUGAAAUCCCGGGGGCUCAACCCCGGAACUGCCUCCAAAACUAUUGGUCUAGAGUUCGAGAGAGGUGAGUGGAAUUCCAAGUGUAGAGGUGAAAUUCGUAGAUAUUUGGAGGAACACCAGUGGCGAAGGCGGCUCACUGGCUCGAUACUGACGCUGAGGUGCGAAAGUGUGGGGAGCAAACAGGAUUAGAUACCCUGGUAGUCCACACCGUAAAACGAUGAAUGCCAGUCGUCGGGUAGCAUGCUAUUCGGUGACACACCUAACGGAUUAAGCAUUCCGCCUGGGGAGUACGGUCGCAAGAUUAAAACUC
rnacentral:rRNA from 1 species